rnacentral:rRNA from 1 species
UACGUAGGGGGCAAGCGUUGUCCGGAAUCAUUGGGCGUAAAGCGCACGUAGGCGGUUUGUUAAGUCGGAUGUGAAAUCCCUCGGCUCAACUGAGGAAGUGCAUCCGAAACUGGCAAGCUUGAGUACGAAAGAGGGUCGCGGAAUUCCCGGUGUAGAGGUGAAAUUCGUAGAUAUCGGGAGGAACACCGGUGGCGAAGGCGGCGACCUGGGUCGAUACUGACGCUGAGGUGCGAAAGCGUGGGGAGCAAACAGG